GCGGCCGGCCGGCUGGCGGGGUGGCGAAAUGUCUUUUCCAGAUUAGGGGCCCAGCCCGCGCUGUUGACACAGUCGUAAGUUUUAAUGAGAAAUUGGCUCUGCUGACUGCCGGCGAAAAUGACACACAGGGGCUCCUCCUGCCCCCCCACCUCCCCAGCUCCACCAAAAGGGCCGUGGUGUAGGUGUGAGCCUGGAGUCCUGUUGUGAGCAGGGAGCCUCAGCCCUCAGCCUCCCAGUCACUGACCACCUGCGGUGUGCACUCGGAUGGGCAAACUGAGGAGCAAAGAAGUUAAGUAAUUUACCCAAGACUGCACAGCUAAUGGGUAGCAGAGCCUAGAAGAGCCAUGGUCUGGCACCAGAAUCCACACUCCUAUUUUCUAUA